rnacentral:lncRNA from 1 species
AUCCUCCUGACGAUGAUUUUCCUCUUGCAGCAUCUCUUCUUGCUGGCCACAGACUUACUGCUCGCGACGACCCUUUCCUGCCUCUUCUAUGCCUUCGUGUGCAUUUCUAUCGCAUCUUUGGCCUGCUUCAUUAUCCUCUUCUCCUUUGGCAUUCUGGAGAGGAAUAUUGAUGUGAAAGGGAGAGCAAUUGUAAUUCUCGUGUCCAACAGCUCCAUUGGGAGGAUGUUUGCAAGGAACCUGGAUAAAGCAGGUUUCAGGGUGUCUGCUGCACACUGGCCUCCUCGAGAGGAGGGGACGGCUACGGAAGAAGAGUGCUCCUCAAGCAUGGAGGUAGCCCAGCUCCACAUGACUGAAGAUGAGUAUCAGAAGACAGUGAAAACCUUCAUAGAAAGCCACUUAUCCCUGAAAGGCAUGUAUGGGCUGAUGAAGAAGCCAUCGAUCCUGAUAUGGGAAGAAGAGGAACCAGACACACACAGCUUACCUGAGAGAAAAACCUCCUCUAAAUGGAAGAAGGUUUUCAAGGCUCCAGCCCUCUGUGCCACAGUCCUCUCCUGCCUACUGAACUGUGCCUUGACUUUCCUGAAGAGAAGCCUGCAGCUCCUUGUGCCCUCGCUGGAGUCCAAAAACUGAGAGGAAGGAAGCUCAUGGAGUGCUACACGUUAAUGCUGUCAUGCCACAAUGAAGAAAUGCCACGGGAAGGAGCAUAGCUGGGAUCAGAAGUGACAAACUCCAGGCAGGGGAGGAUUACCGGUGGUGACUUCAAUUGCAAGACAACAAGAACCUGUGGAUGAAGACAAAAAGCACCUCCUGAACCAUGAGACAGGUCUCUGAUUCCUUUGCAAGUCUGAUCUGUAAGGAAGGGAACACUGAGAUUGAAAUACUGGGAUGUGCACAGAGGAAAAACCCAAACAUCCAAGGUGAAAGGAAAUAAAGGAAAAACUCUGCUGGGAAGGAAAA